rnacentral:lncRNA from 1 species
UUCCGCUGGCGGGUUUUGGCACCACGACCUUCGGGCGCUUAUUUCUGGAUGCGGCUGUGCCCGCGACUUCCCGCGGGCACCCCGAGGCCCCUCGCAAAGUCUCGCCCCAUUCCGAGUCCGGCGGACGAACUUCGCCCGCGCCCCCCACCGAGGCUAUAGCCCACCCAUUUUUUGGCCAUUUUUCCGCUGGGGGGUUUUGGCACCACGACCUUCGGGCGCUUAUUUUUGGGCGCGGCUGUGCCCGCGACUUCCCGCGGGCACCCCGUGGCCCCUCGCAAAAUCUCGCCCCAUUCCGAGUCCGGCGGACGAACUUCGCCCGCGCCCCCAACCAAGGCUAUAGCCCACCCGUUUUUUGGCCAUUUUUCCGCUGGGGGGUUUUGGCACCACGACCUUCGGGCGCUUAUUUUUGGGCGCGGCCUUGCCCGCGGCUUAUUUUUGGCACCCCGAGGCCCCUCGCAAAGUCUCGCCCCAUUCCGAGACCGGCGGACGAACUUCGCCCGCGCCCCCCACCAAGGCUAUAGCCCACCCGUUUUUUGGCCAUUUUUCCGCUGGGGGGUUUUGGCACCACGACCUUCGGGCGCUUAUUUUUGGACGCGGCAUUGCCCGCGGCUUAUUUUUGGUGCCCCGAGGCCCCUCGUAAAGUCUCGUCCCAUUCCGAGUCCGGCGGACGAACUUCGCCCGCGCCCCCCACCGAGGCUAUAGCCCACCCGUUUUUUGGCCAUUUUUCCGCUGGGGGUUUUUGGCACCACGACCUUCGGGCGCGGCUUUGCCCGCGGCUUAGUUUUGGCACCCCGAGGCCCCUCGCAAAGUCUCGUCCCAUUCCGAGUCCGGCGGACGAACUUCGCCCGCGCCCCCCACCAAGGCUAUAGCCCACCCGUUUUUUGGCCAUUUUUCCGCUGGGGGGUUUUGGCACCACGACCUUCGGGCGCUUAUUUUUGGCCGCGGCUUUGCCCGCGGCUUUUUUUUGGCACCCCAAGGCCCCUCGCAAAGUCUCGCCCCAUUCCGAGUCCGGCGGACGAACUUCGCCCGCGCCCCCCACCAAGGCUAUAGCCCACCCGUUUUUUGGCCAUUUUUCCGCUGGGGGGUUUUGGCACCACGACCUUCGGGCGCUUCUUUGUGGACGCGGCUGUGCCCGCGACUUCCCGCGGGCACCCCGAGGCCCCUCGCAAAGCCUCGCCCCAUUCCGAGUCCGGCAGACGAACUUCGCCCGCGCCCCCCACCAAGACUAUAGCCCACCCGUUUUUUGGCCAUUUUUCCGCUGGGGGUUUUUGGCACCACGACCUUCGGGCGCUUAUUUUUGGAUGCGGCUUUGCCCGCGGCUUAUUUUUGGUGCCCCGAGGCCCCUCGCAAAGUCUCGCCCCAUUUCGAGUCCGGCGGACGAACUUCGCCCGCGCCCCCUACCAAGGCUAUAGCCCACCCGUUUUUUGGCCAUUUUCCCGCUGGGGGGUUUUGGCACCACGACCUUCGGGCGCUUAUUUUUGGGCGCGGCUUUGCCCGUGGCUUAUUUUUGGCACCCCGAGGCCCCUCGCAAUGUCUCGCCCCAUUCCGAGUCUGGCGGACGAACUUCGCCCGCGCCCCCCACCAAGGCUAUAGCCCACCCGUUUUUUGGCCAUUUUUCCGCUGGGGGGUUUUGGCACCACGACCUUCGGGCGCUUAUUUUUGGACGCGGCUGUGCCCGCGACUUCCCGCGGGCACCCCGAGGCCCCUCGCGAAGUCUCGCCCCAUUCCGAGUCCGGCGGACGAACUUCGCCCGCGCCCCCCACCAAGGCUAUAGCCCACCCGUUUUUUGGCCAUUUUUCCGCUGGGGGGUUUUGGCACCACGACCUUCGGGCGCUUAUUUUUGGGCGCGGCUGUGCCCGCGACUUCCCGCGGGCACCCCGAGGCCCCUCGCAAAGUCUCGCCCCAUUCCGAGUCCGGCGGACGAACUUCGCCCGCG